GCUGGCGGCAGGCUUAAUACAUGCAAGUCGAACGGUAAGGCCGAGUGCAGCAAUGCAUGAGGUACACGAGUGGCGCACGGGUGCGUAACGCGUAUGCAACCUGCCCCCAACCGGGACAAAACAGCUGGAAACGGCUGCUAAUAUCCCAUAGCCAUCUGGGAGGGCAUCCUUCUGGAUGUAAAGAUUCAUUGGUCGGGGAUGGGCAUGCGUAUUAUUAGGUAGUUGGCGGGGUAACGGCCCACCAAGCCGACGAUGAUUAGGGGUCCUGAGAGGGUUAACCCCCACACUGGAACUGAGACACGGUCCAGACUCCUACGGGAGGCAGCAGUAGGGAAUAUUGGGCAAUGGGAGCAAUCCUGACCCAGCCAUGCCGCGUGAAGGAAGACGGCCCUAUGGGUUGUAAACUUCUUUUGCCGCAGAGUAAACCUGGUCACGUGUGGCCAGUUGAGAGUAUGCGGCGAAUAAGUAUCGGCUAACUCCGUGCCAGCAGCCGCGGUAAUACGGAGGAUACAAGCGUUAUCCGGAUUUAUUGGGUUUAAAGGGUGCGCAGGCGGACCGUUAAGUCAGGGGUGAAAAGUUGGGGCUCAACUCCAAUCGUGCCUUUGAUACUGGCG
rnacentral:rRNA from 1 species